rnacentral:lncRNA from 1 species
GGUAACUCUCUCUACUUUGGAAAGGUUUUUACCGGAACCGAAGACAAGAGACCCCCUCAGCAUCAGACGACGAGGUUAGGGGUUUUUACUUCGGUGACGCUGGGACUCUCCCAGAACACCAUGAUGAGCUCCCUCUUGGCCAUUGCCAUGAAACAAAAGCACGAUCAAACUGGCAGUAGCGUGCAGAGCACGCUGUCUAAAGUGUGCAAGUCUGUAAUGGUUACUAAGGUGGCGAUGGACAUGUCAUUCUACGCUCGCUAUCAUCACAGGUUUAACGCUGGCGAAUUCACAGAAGUCGCUCAGGUGAAAGCGCUGAGUGACCCCCGCUACAAUAACGUGAUCCACGAGGAGACUCUGACCAGUAACAGCAAGUAUCAGCUCACCGUGUCCCUCGGCGCGCUGCCCAUGUGCCCGCUCACCCUGGCCAUGAGCAUGAGACAGGCGGUCAUGAUGACCAUGGGAUUUUUGUGCGCAGAACUGGCUCGUGUCAUCUACGCGCCAAAAGUGAAUGACUCCAAUCUGUGCAAGCACCUGGUCUCAUUGACUAUGGCGGCUACAUUCAGACACGGAAAAGAUGAGGAAAGCACCAACGCAUUUGAAGCGUCUUAUGGCAACUUCCUAAAGCUGACAGGCUCGGCUUUCAGCCCCCCAUGUAGAAACGGCAUCAACUUUCACGAACUUGAUGAUAUGGAGUGGUUGCAAGGGGACGACAGCAGUCUUCCAGAUUACAUACACAGGUCACUGAAUAUGAUCGGCGACACUAAGAAGGAGGUACGUAGAAUAAUGCAAGAGAAGAACGUUUCCUACAACAGGGUUUUGUUCAUGAGUGAGAAUGGCGUAAUGAAAUUCGCCUCUGUGUUUGCCAAUGAAGAAUACAUGAUCCACGCACCCAUGAUGGCGGCUUCGAGCAUGAGAAUAUUCUCAAACAACAGCAACAGCUACGGCUCUGUGAAACUGUGCAAGCAGGGUAGCUUCUACCCGUGAAGGUUUUCAGCAACAGGUGCGUUGACACAAAGCUGUACAGUUCCCAGGGGUUCAGAAACUUCGGCUGUCUCUCCGAGAAGACCACCAUCGAUGACAUGGUGGACAGGAUAAAGAGAGAGGUUUCCUGUGUGAUGCCCAGGAUUGAUGUGGCUCGUAUCAAAAUGAUG